rnacentral:rRNA from 1 species
AGUUUACCGAAGCUGUGGAGUGCACCAUCAGGUGCAUUGGUAGGAGAGCGUUCUAAGGGCGUUGAAGGCAGAUCGUGAGGACUGCUGGAGCGCUUAGAAGUGAGAAUGCCGGUAUGAGUAGCGAAAGACAGGUGAGAAUCCUGUCCACCGAAUGACUAAGGUUUCCUGGGGAAGGCUCGUCCGCCCAGGGUUAGUCGGGACCUAAGCCGAGGCCGACAGGCGUAGGCGAUGGACAACAGGUUGAUAUUCCUGUACCCGUUGUUUUUGUUUGAGCAAUGGAGGGACGCAGGAGGCUAAGAAGUGCAGACUGAUGGAUAUGUCUGUUCAAGCAGUAAGUCUUGGUAGGAGUCAAAUGCUUCUACCUAUACGGACAAGCUGUGAUGAGGAGGGAAAUAAUAGUACCGAAGCUUCUGAUGUCACACUGCCAAGAAAAGCUUCUAGUGAGAAAACAACGGCCCGUACCGCAAACCGACACAGGUAGU